UUCAAGUUUUGUAUCUUGCUCAGAAUGAGAUUAUAGGAAUAAUAUCUCAUUGCCUCGAUUCUAUGGUUGCCAUGCAAUUCUCAAGUGGCAUUUUUCCAGACUAUUUUUAUUCAAAUAUUGGGCCUAGAGAUCGCAUUUUCCUCAACAGUGUAGGAAGUGAGGUUAUAAUCUUGAAUGGCUAUGUUGCAUUAAUACCAGCGAUUGAUCUUUCUAGUAGUCACUUACAAGGAUAGAUCCCUGAUAGCAUGACAAAACUUUCAGGAUUGUAUUCCUUAAAUCUUUCAAGCAAUAAUCUCACAGGAUUCAUUCGCAAUAACAUGGUUCAGCUACCAAGUUUGGAGUCACUUGAUUUAUCAAGUAGUUCCCUUUCUGGUGGAAUUCCAGCUAGCUUCUCGAGUUUGUAUUCUCUCUCUAACUUGAAUCGGUCCUUCAACAGUUUAUCAGGAGAAAUUCCACCCAGCGCCCAAUUGCAGUCCUUUGAUUCUUCCAGUUAUACAGGAAACCAAGGAUUUUGUGUGGCACACCUCUCAUUCAAGAAUGUUCGAGAGAAGCAACAAGUUUUGAUCAUUCAAAUCCUAAUCAAUUGAUAAACCUGGGAUUUUACAUCAGCAUGUUUUUUUGGAUUCACCAUUGGAUUUUGGGGAGCCUGUCGAACUUUGAUCCUCAAAAAUUCAUGGAGACGAGCCUACUUUAAAUUCUUCAGCAACAUGAAUGAUUGGAUUUAUGUCCAAGCAUUCCUCUUCGCGCCAAAAUUGAAGCGAAGAUUUCAGCAUGAAGAGUUGUCACACCGUCAUUGUUGACCAUCGACAGCGUGGACGAGUGUAAAAGCCUUGGCUGUUAAUACUUCAACCACAGAUCAUGAUUUUUCAUCUCUUUCCUUGCAUUGAAUUGCUAUUGAUUGCUGUUGAUCGCUGCUGAAAUUCAAGCCCUUGCUACCGUUGGAGGAGGACUGUGCUAGUCAGAAUCUUCCUCUCCAUUCAUUCUUCUUCCUUCUUCCUCCCCUAUUGUGCAUUCUCGUCAGUUCUCUCCCUCAUUUUCCCUUACUUCGCAUAUCACCAGAAAAGAAUGCUAACACUUAGUUUUCCCUCUUUCAACUUAUGCUUUAUGCUAAUAGACAAUAAAUCUUUACUUUGUAUUAGCCUACAGUAGUUUGCAUCAUUCUAGUUUUUGGAAGUUGACAUGCUUUAUCGAUGAGAUUGUACUCUUUAGUUUUAGUCAAACAUCAUAUCCAGAUAUGUUUUAUCUAUGCAUAAUGAACGUGAAACCACACGGCUCCGCAAGCUUUAAUUCAAAGGUGGUUUUGGCUAAGGAAA